GCCUGGGUGGCUCUGUUGGUUAAGCAUCUGACUUCGGCUCAGGUCGUGAUCUCACAGUUCAUGAGUUCAAGUCUCACUUCGGGCU
rnacentral:tRNA from 1 species